GAAAUGCGAUAAGUAAUGUGAAUUGCAGAAUUCAGUGAAUCAUCGAAUCUUUGAACGCACAUUGCGCCCGCCAGUAUUCUGGCGGGCAUGACUGUUCGAGCGUCAUUUCAACCAUCAAGCCCCCGGCUUGUGUUGGGGACCUGCGGCUGCCCGCAGGCCCUGAAAAACAGUGGCGGGCUCGCUGUCACACCGAGCGUAGUAGCAUACAUUCUCGCUCAGGGCGUGCUGCGGGUUCCGGCCGUUAAACGACCUUCAUAACCCAAGGUUGACCUCGGAUCAGGUAGGAAGACCCGCUGAACUUAAGC
rnacentral:misc_RNA from 1 species